GGCCACCUCACCUCCCACAACUCUCUCAGCAGCACUGCCAUCCUCCAGGUACCUGGGCUGAGGCUCCAGCUCAGCCAGCACUGAGCCAAGCAGAGACACAGGAAGCAGAAAAGUCAGACAUCAUGAAUUCAGAUGCCUGUUGCUUCGACGCCCACCGUGUCGUCACCUCCUUUGCUCGAAUCUCUGGUUGGAGGGCCUGAGACACAAGGCGAUGAGUUGAGGAAAGGAAUCGAGGAUAUACAACUUCAGAUAUGAAUAGAGGCGAUUAAAUACAAUAAUGUGAAUACACAAGUCAACAAAUUAAACAAAUAAAACAUUGUUUCAGUCUU